UACGGAGGAUCCAAGCGUUAUCCGGAUUUAUUGGGUUUAAAGGGUGCGUAGGCGGCCCGUUAAGUCAGGGGUGAAAUACGGCAGCUCAAAUGUCGCAGUGCCUUUGAUACUGACGGGCUUGAAUGCGGAUGAGGUAGGCGGAAUGAGACAAGUAGCGGUGAAAUGCAUAGAUAUGUCUCAGAACUCCGAUUGCGAAGGCAGCUUACUAAGUCGUAAUUGACGCUGAUGCACGAAAGCGUGGGGAUCAAACAGG
rnacentral:rRNA from 1 species